AGCGUCUGUGAUGUUCUAUUACCUACAUUGUUUGAGCCUCAUGAAAACGCUACUAGCUGAGACGCCU
ensembl:snoRNA SNORD34 Small nucleolar RNA SNORD34